CACAGCCCACACCGAUUCCUCCGCUCCACGACUCCCCUCGACGCAAUCACGCCGCCGCCACCGCCGCCGCCUCAUCUCCCCAUCCCAGCCCCAUCCUCCCUCUCUAUGGCCUCAUCUCCUUCCCCUUUCUCUUCUCAAUCCAGAUUCAUGGAGGUGGGCGGCAGGGACGCCAUCGACCGCGAGUCCGCGACGCUAGGGUUCCUAGCCGCUGCCACACGCACAGCCGGCCGGAGCCACCUCCGCUCCGUCAGCCAUCGAUCCUCCUCUCCACCAUUGCCUGGAGCUGCUCUGCCCAUCUCUGCCUCGCCCCGAGCAGGACUCGGCCCGCCCAACAACCCCCUUCACGCCAGCCGUCCUAUGGCGGGGGCAAGGGAGUGGAGUAAGGGCUGGCCGCUGUGAUCUGGCGGCUUCGCCGUCCUCUGCGACAAGUACGGGAUACUGAUCUAUUAUUAUGCAUCACAACUACAUGAAUGAAUGAAAGCAAAAUAUUCUUUCAAGAGCAAAUGGCACUUCUGUUUCAUCUUGUGAAACCAACCAUUACAGUGUUGAUGAAGAAACCAACUGAUCUGCUGAUUUUAUCAACAAAUAAGGUAGCGUAUCUUCUAAUUCGUGUUUUAUUCUCCAAGUUUGUUCCAUUCAAUUCUUUACCUUACUGUUUCAGGUUUCAAACAACACUUAUGGUUGUUCGGAUGAAAAGAAUGGCAACUAUGAUUUUACUUACCCUCUAAAUAAUAUGCUACAACAACCCAAUAAUCGUGCUCCUGAAACAAGAAGCCACAAGCAAGCAUCACAGUUUAUAAACCCGACAUGGGUGUCUAUUUAACUUCCGAUAUGAUGAAUUCUUGUGUGGGGACAUAUCCAUUAUGUCGCAACAGCGUCACUUCAGAGGAGCAAAUCAUCUGGUUCUUAUUUUGGAAAGUUAUAUGGUCAACCGAUGCAUAUUUUUUGAACUUUGAAUUUAUUAACAGAUACUAAUGCCACUUCCGGCAAAUCGUGUUUAUACUUGAUUGUGCAUUUGUGCUCGUUGAAUCUGUUUUGGCAAAGAAUAAUUUAGGGAAUAUUGCAACUGUGUAUGUGAACUUAUGAAGUAAUAUGCACGUGCAGGUGUGUGUGUUGAAUGUUUGCUGUUAAACAAUGAUCAAACUAACUUUCAUAUCUUUUUCAUAUGAAUAGGCUAGAAUGUUGGAAGAUGUGGUUGGCUGGUACCACUCACAUCUGGGUUACGCAUGCUGCCUGAACGCCAUUGAUGUUUCAACUCAGAUGCUUAAUCAGCAGUUUACAGAACUAUUCUUGGCUUUGUGAUUGACCCUACAAAGACUGUUUCUGCUGGUAAAGUGGACAUUGGAGCUUUUAGCUAGGACAUACCCGAAAGAUUACAAGCCACCAGAUGAGCCUGUGAAGUAUCAGCCAAUACCACUCAACAAGACAUAAGAUUUUGGUGUUCACUGCAAACUGGUAACGCGACCAAUGCAAUUCUCUUAUUUAUGUAUUCUUUUUUGUUCAAAACGCUUGGUUUAGUUUUGUUCUAACUGUAUUUUCAUGCAGUACUAUUCUUUGGAUAUAACCUAUUUCAAGUCGUCCAUGGCUUCUCACCUCGUUGAUCUACUCAUUAUUGAUCAUAAGUAGAAAAGUAUUCCAUCGGUUUCUACAACAUUACUUGGUGGCGCGCUUGGUCUGUUUAAAACUUUACUGCUUGUUUUCUAUGCAAAACAUAUCUUAGACUUCAUGGGUGGGAAAGCGGUAGAUGUUACUUCAGGCCCUUUUUUGCUUUUGAUAGUGCAGACUACUUUAUUUCAGCACAAACAUUAGUUAUUAACAUCAGCUUUUCCCAUGUAUUUCAAAACUAAUUGAUUUCUUCAUAAAAAGCGGAUAAUUUAGGCUCUUCGGUUAUUAAGUUGCUUCUUUUUUUGCCAACAGUUGUAAGUUAACUUACUAAUAAUUGGGUGUGGGCAUAUCUUAGAUUUUUCUUCCUUACUCGUCCCUUCUUUCUCCCUCUUCCAUUCCCCCUUCCUCCACCUUUGAGGCCCUGAGUUGUGAAGGGCACGAAACCCUGGCGGCAGUGGCGGAUUGAUGCGGGGGAUGAUGGUUGCAUCACUGAAUUUGCUUUAUUGUGUUGUUGUUUCAGAUGAGGAUGAGGCCCUGAGCUUAUGCUUUUCAUGGGCACAAAGAUGAGGUCUUUGCUGCUGCGUGCAGUCCUGUAGAUACAUCACUUGACAUUUCUGGAGGUAAAGAUGGCAGAGGGUUCCUUUGGAGGAUCAGAUCGCCACAGGAUUUUCAGGAGCUGACUAAUAUGAUUACCUCAUCUUCCUAUUUUUAUUUGUGAUAUCUAUAGCUAUAAAAGUAUAUUUGAUAUCUUUAGCAAGUUUUUUUCGUCAUUUUUGUGGGCAGGGCCUUAUUUUUCUUUUUGGCUUUUCAUUUAUAUGUACCUUAAUGUGUUGAUGAGUGCCUAGAAUUGCCUGCCAAGCUUAUCUUUUUUCGGCGUGUUGGAGCGGUUCUAGAUCUCGUUUUGUUCCGGGCCGGGUUUCAGUGAAUGGAUUCUUCUACUGUUUAUUUUCAUUGGCUGAACGUACGCAGGGAUUAAAUGGAUGUGUGUGAGAGUUGUGUCUGUGUUCCAUUGUUGUUGAUGUAGUAGCUUUCAAUUCGCAGGCAUGUCACCGUUGGCAAGUGCAAGAAGAAAGCCCCGAGAAAAAUGCACAAAGCCAAGAGGGAGAAGCAUUAGCACGACCUGCUCAAUGAUCUCUUCGGUGUACUUUUCAAAAUGCUAGGUGAGUUAAAUAGGUGUGCAUCAUGUUAAACAUCCAAUAUUAUGGGCCGCCAAGAGUUAUUCUUGGGCGCCACUUCUAGGAGAUAGAGAUAGUUUUUCUUUUCUGUUUAAGUUACAUCUAUCUCUAUUCCCAAUCUUCUGUAAACUCUUCCGGUUAGUCCUCUAACUGUACGCAUGUGUAAUCUCCUCGAGAGGUUUUCUCUCGCUAUCAAUAUAUAAG